rnacentral:rRNA from 1 species
UGGGGAAUUUUGCACAAUGGGGGAAACCCUGAUGCAGCGACGCCGCGUGAUUUAGAAGGCCUUCGGGUUGUAAAAAUCUUUUCUAUGGGAAGAAAAUGACAGUCCCAUAGGAAUAAGGACCGGCUAAUUACGUGCCAGCAGCCGCGGUAAUACGUAAGGUCCGAGCGUUGUCCGGAAUCAUUGGGCGUAAAGGGUACGUAGGCGGGUAAGCAAGUUAGAAGUGAAAUCCUAUAGCUCAACUAUAGUAAGCUUUUAAAACUGCUCAUCUUGAGGUAUGGAAGGGAAAGUGGAAUUCCUAGUGUAGCGGUGAAAUGCGCAGAUAUGAGGAGGAAUACCGGUGGCGAAGGCGACUUUCUGGCCAUAACCUGACGCUGAGGUACGAAAGCGUGGGUAGCAAACAGG